UAAUAUUGUCUGUGGUACUACGGCCUUUUCUGAAUCCCAGCUGAUUAGCUGUCAAAAUAUUAUUAUUUUCAAUGAAAAAUUCUAACCUGUUUUUAACAAGAUGCUCAGCUAUUUUAGCAAGAACAGAGGAUAGGGCUAUUGGGCGAAAAGAAGAAACAUUAGAGGCUGGUUUGUUUGGUUUUAAUAUGGGAAUUAUAGCUUGGGUUUUCCAAGAAGAAGGAAUAUUACCAGACAACACAAUGGCAUUAAUAAUACUCAAAUAGUAGUUCAAGGAAGCGACACUGCUGUUUAUUAAGAAAGAGUUAGAAGGAGGGCAAGAGAUAGGUAAAGUAAGAACAAGUGGUAAGUGAUCACUGCCAUAAGAAUGAUCAAGUACACUCCAGGAUAUCAGAGAGGCCAUACUUGGAGAGCAAAGAGAUAGGUCAGGAGCACUAAGGCAUUCACCAGGACCAGUACGUCGAGUUGGAGUGCCAUUGUUCAAAAUACAUAUAUUUUGAAAGUCUAAAAUAUCUGCCAUCAAUUCACCAUAAUAAUUAGAACUAGUACUACCCCAUGACUGAUUUUGACAAUUGAAAUCCCCAAGUACUAAAAAUGGACUAGGUAAAGUAAUUGUGGAGGAGAGGUAGCAGCUACAUCAGCAUAAGACUUUGAUGUAGAAGGGGGAUGGACUUUAGCCGCCUCUGCAUAUGAUAUGCAGCUCUAGGCCAUUGAAAUUUUGAUUUUCUGCUGUCUAGAAAAUUCUGGACACAACUUACUAGUCGUAAAGUGGCGACCUGUGCAAUGAAGACAACAAGCAUUAUCAGAGACAACGGCACAAGUGUCUGAGGGGUGUUCAUCCCCACAUUUAAAGCAACGGGGCUUGGAUCUGCAUUGAAUUUUAGUGUGGCCAAAUUUGCAACAAUUGUAGCACUGGAUGGUUGGGAAAAUAUAUAAUUCAACAGGGAGUGCUGUAUAACACAUGUAAACCCUUUUUGGUAAAAUUUGACCAUCAAACGUCAAUACAACCAUGUUUGUAUUUGAAAAUAAAGCUGUACCAUCAGUAA